rnacentral:rRNA from 1 species
AUUGAACGCUGGCGGCAUGCCUUACACAUGCAAGUCGAACGGCAGCACGGACUUCGGUCUGGUGGCGAGUGGCGAACGGGUGAGUAAUGUAUCGGAACAUACCUUGUAGUGGGGGAUAACUAUCCGAAAGGAUAGCUAAUACCGCAUACGCUCUAAGGAGGAAAGCGGGGGAUCGUAGGACCUCGUGCUAUAAGAGUGGCCGAUAUCUGAUUAGCUAGUUGGUGAGGUAAAGGCUCACCAAGGCGACGAUCAGUAGCUGGUCUGAGAGGACGACCAGCAACACUGGAACUGAGACACGGUCCAGACUCCUACGGGAGGCAGCAGUGGGGAAUUUUGGACAAUGGGGGGCAACCCCGAUCCAGCAAUGCCGCGUGAGUGAAGAAGGCCUUCGGGUUGUAAAGCUCUUUUGUCAGGGAAGAAACGGUUGUGGCUAAUAUCCAUGGCUAAUGACGGUACCUGAAGAAUAAGCACCGGCUAACUACGUGCCAGCCGCCGCCGUAAAAC